AAAGUCGUAACAAGGUUUCCGUAGGUGAACCUGCGGAAGGAUCAUUACAAAUCGAAGGGUUAGACAUGGGAAGUGUAGGAAAGUGAAGAAGGAGAAUGAUGAUUGAAUGAAUGAAUGUUACAACAAAAAACAAAAUUAAAAACAACUUUUAACAAUGGAUCUCUAGGCUCUU
rnacentral:misc_RNA from 1 species